CUUGCUGUAUGAUUUCUGAGCCAAACAUCUUUGUUAUUGCUGUGCGAUUUUCUGUAAGAACUUUUGUUCGAUUACAGUUUUCUAUGUUUUUUGUGAUUUUGUAUGCUUGAUCGGUCCUGUUUUUGAUCUCCAUUGAUUAUAGGGUGGGGUUUUGCUAGGAAACGAGAAAAAAUAGAGUGCGAAUGCAGUUAAUGUACUAAUUUUAGGCAUGAUUAAGUGGCAGCAUUGACGCCCAAGUCAACGUAUUCCAUGACCCGCCGACCCUAAUAGUAGCUUGCCCCAAGUUAACGUCCUCCAUGUAAGAGAGGUAUUUCUAUAACGUAGGAUGGCUUUAUGAAAUAUGAUACAAGGUUUUAUUGUCAUGAUUUUUCAUCCAAAAAAAACCCAGGUAACAAUAGUAGAUUGGUUAUGUUGGAGGCAGGAAGAGGAGUUGAGGAGGUGACUAUUCUGUUGAGGAAAAAAUGAUUAUCUAAAACUUGGAAAAUGUGGCAAAUGGAGUGGCAUGGACGUUUGACUAAUUGUGAUGGUAGUUUUUCCCUUAUCCCCUAUAAUUGUGAUGGCAUGGAGUGACAUAGAAAAUGUGGCAAGAUAGAAACUUUUUUUUUUUGGUUUUCUAAACAAGGCUUGUGGCUCCGUCUAGGCUUUCCACAAAAUCACCCUCUGUUGGCCCUCUAUUGCAAUUGUUUCAACCUCGAUGCCGAGUAAGCGUGUUCGUCUUCUAUCUACGUUCCACAAUUAUAUCCCCCUGUUUUGAAUGAUUGUCUGUACAUACUUGAAUGCUAUAAGGUUUGCAUAAUUGACUGAUUAGUAUGGCUCAGUUAGUUUAUUGGGUUUGUUUGAUUACGUAUUGGUGUUGGUAUGUUAAUUGACUUCACUUUUGUCUAGAGCUAUCGUGUGUGAGUGGUUAGCCAAAGCCACCUUGCUAUCCAAAUUAGGGGUCCCUUCUGAUCAGAUAUCGUGAAUGGCACAAUAGAAGGGCAAAUUAUUUUGGGGGAGGGUUGAAUUUCCCUAUUCAUUUACUUUCUUUUGACAUGACUCACAUCCAGAGACGGAACCAUGAUUUCAUAAACACAGGGGCCGAACUUGAUUUUGUCUCUGCUCACAUCCCUUCAUUACUCUGAUAGAGUUGCUUUAGCCAAAUAAAGCACAAAAUGUACGUAAAGUAGAAGAUUAACUAAAAAUUUUUUAUGCAAACAAAUAUUCAUAUAACAAGGGAAGGGGGGUAGAAGAUUACCUACCUACUCUCAUAGAUUGAAGUUUGGCUAUUGACAUGUAUUUCCCCCCUUCAUUGAUUUUUCUUCUCUGUUUUUUUGUGUCUACAAAAUUGUUAUUGUCUACUUUUAACCAAACUACGUGAAAUUGAUGUACAGAAGUUGAUUAAGGUUAUUUGGAUGCAUAGACGUUGAUUAAGGUUAUUUUUCCUUCCUUUUGCAGGUAUACACGGCAUGCAUAAAAUUAGUGCUGAAAACAGGAAGGUAAGAAAUUUCCAGUUCUCUACUUUUAUUGCUUUCUAUACUUUUAUUUUUCCCUUCUUGGGGCUUUUUUGUGUGGUUCUUUCUUUUUCCUUAAUAUUCUUUCACUCUCUUUAAUUAAUUAUCUAAGUGUGAGGUGUCGGGACAAACAAAUCUUUCUUUUUUCAUCUUCUUCAACAUAUGUAACACAGACACGGACAUUGUUAUCAGUGUCUCUGUUGUAGUGGACACGUAAAGUCCCAUAUGUGCUCCCGCAUGUUGUGUAUCCCCGGAGUGUUUGACACGAAUACGGCAAUUUCUUAGAGUGUCGGUGCUUGAUAGUUUUCAACUAUUCAUUCCCAUUUCCUUAUAGUUAUUGCAAUUUAAUAAAUCAUCUAUUUUGGUUAAUUUAUAUUGGCAGUGUAUUUGUAGCUGAUCAUGGUGCUAUGGGGAAGCAAAUCAGGCUAUCCUUUGCUCACUUGAGGUAUUACACUGGAAAUACUACGCAUGCCAUUUAAAGUCGAUGGUUAUGAAACUCUUCUUAAAUUUGGUUUGAUCACAUUGGGUAGGCGAUUGAAGGGAAAGACAUUUAUUUUGUUUAUCUUUUAAAAUAGUACUUAGAUGGUUCAAAUUUCUUCAAAAUGAAUUUAUUUUCCCGUUCUUCUCAUUGAUUAGCAUUGCGUCCAUAGAUUUAAUGUAAAAAGAUAUAGUUUGUGACAGUAGGCUCCCAAUUUUUUAAUGAAUUGAUUAAGAAUUCUAUAAUAAAACAAAGCUAUGUUUGAAUCCAAAAGACAACCAACGCUCUAGAUUUAUCCCCUCUUCUACGUAAAUCUUUGCCCUCCAUUCUACAAAAUGGCAUGCCGUAAAUACUUAACUUUUGAGAGACAUUUUAGCAAGGGGGGAAGGAAUCCCAGAAAAUAUUCUCUCUCCCACACACGUUGAUUUUGAAAAUCCAGACCUCAUCUCUCCUUCUCCUCCUUCUAGGUCUCCUCCCCUCUAUCCAUCCGAAGUCCAAAAGGCAACCAGAGAAAGUGGAAGAAACCAACGAAUUGGGGGAAAGGUCAAGUUUCUCGCAAUCUCUCACUCUCCAUGUUUUCUUGGCAAGUUCUCUCUCUCUCUCUCUCAUCUUCUUCUUCGGUGAGAGGUCCUUCGAUUAUAUCUGUUUUCUUUAUUUUUUUAUUUUUUUAUUUCAAUCAUCUUUUUUGUUUCUCGAAGAAAAUAUGUGGUGGAUUGAUGAUUUGUGUUUUGAUGGGUUCAAUUAUGGGUUGAUUUGUGUUUGUCAGAGUUAGUGGUCCUUUACUUGAAACGAGAAUCAUACAUCACCAACACAUGAUCUGGAACAAUAUAAGAGGCAACUUCCCUAUGUACAUAAACAGCCUUUGUAAGUUUCAUUUUUAAUUUGUUCAGUACCCUUUUCUGUUUUGAAGUUUGCAAUUAUUGCUGGUUUUUUUGGUUUCUUAUUAAUCACACAUGGCAUACGUUCAUUGCAUUCAAGGUAUUUGUUAAAAUGCAUGGUAGAAAUGAAAUUAUAGAACUCCAUUUAGACAUCUAAAAAAAAUGAAAUUAUAGAACUGAAUAAUUAGCAUCAGGGGGCAAGGAAACAAAAGCAACAAAAUUUAUGGGCUUCCUGAUAUUUUCUGUUGGUAACUUCUCAAAUGUUUUUUUUGGGUAAGUUCUUGAAUAGUUUCGUUGGUAACUUUACAUAAAAUGCUUCGACCACAAUUUAUAUGCUUUCGUUAGUAUAAAGUUGCGUGUGGAUUUUCUCCCUUAAUUUGUGCACUUCCAAUCGAACUGUUGUGAAUGUGAUUGUGCGUUAGUUUUUGGAGGAAGGUUAUGAAAAGAAGAAAAUACAUUUCAAAGACAUUGAAUAAAUAUUAAGUUGCAGUUACGUGCACGUAGUAGUAGGUGCCCAUCUUCUAUGGGUGACUCUCUUGCAAUGGUCAAGUGGUGAGACGGUGAACCGGUCGGCAACCUGUCAGUGAGGCGGUUGUCAGUUCCAUUGGUGCAUUCUUAAACCUAAGCAUUGACAGUUACCGUCCAUACCUGUUACUCGCACCUACGCUCAUAGACUGCUCUAAAGCUCUGCCAAUACUGCCCACACCCACUAUAGUCACUGUCCAAACAAGUUUAUUUCUUGCUGAAUAUGAAUUUCGAUUUCAUUUUUUAUUUCAUUUGCACGUUGCAUCUGAUGAAGCUCACAACACUCUCUUAUAGAGACGAUACAAUAUCAGCCACAAUAAGAGAAACAUUCAAAGAGCCUCUUUUUGAUGUUAUCGAAAACUACUUACUUUUCCACACUUUAGGUUUUUGGUAUAUCUAUGAUGGGGAUCGAAUUAUUCGCAUUGUUGGUGAGGUGCAGUACGUCAGCAAGUAGAAUGCUAAGGUCUAAGUGAAUUAACUUUUGCUUUAUGAUAUGUACGAGUUUAGGGUUUGUUCAUUCCCAUGGCAUAGAUCGAUAGACACCGAUUACAUAUGUUAUUCAUGUUGUCAUAGGUACGAGUGCUUCUCAGGUUAGGGUUUCUCUCUCCAAGGGAUUUCUUCUCUUUCCGAGCACCACCAAUUGUGGCCAAUCGAACAUUGCGCUCACCCUAGUUGCGGGAACAACCGAGGUCAAAGGUAACAACUCUCCCACCAUCACUGGUAAACAAAUGGGUUUCAUAUGGAUUUUGUUAAAGAUUAUAGCUUUCCAUUUGAGCAAAUAGUUGAACAACCGAGGUCAAAGGUAACAACUCUCCCACAACCGACAUAUUACAUCCAUCCUAUAAUUUAGGAACCUGGAUGCUAUGGAGAUUAUGGGCGAGGCUAUUCAUCAUGAAGUUCCUGGUGGAUAUGAGGGAGGGUUUGAUUCGUCCUACGGGUGACCAUGAGAUUUUUGUGUGGGUUGGGAUGUUUAGGUGCAUUCAUUACAGGAGGAAAUGCAAAAUCAGGACAUCCUAUUUUGAUGAGAUUUUUUUAUUGUAGGCAUUGCCAUAGGGAAGCAAAGGUGUGGUCUUUAUCCUUUUUUUUGGAACCAGUCAAUUUUAUAAAGGGACAAGACUAUAAUGCCAGUGAGUCACAUUGUGCUUGAUAUAUGAUUAGUUUUUUGGGAUGCAUAAAGGUCUAGGAGUUCUGAAAUAAUGCAGGAUUGCAUGGUAUAUUGUGAUGGUUAUUGAUGUAGGAAUUGACUGUGUUCAAUUUGUAGGCUGAUCUUGGCUUACUUUUAUUGAUGUCUUGCCUAUAUUGAUUCAUAGAGGUGUGUGAUGGGAUGAAGAUCUUGGGGUGCCCGUGAUGUGAAUUUUAAGCAAACAUCGAUUACAUUGUCGAUUUUGCCAAAUCAACGCAGGUUCACAUGGAUCUCAUCCGUUUGAGCUUGGAAAUCGAGAUUCGCCAUCAGAAAUUGGGAUUUGCCGGCUCACCUAUAAUGGCACCUCAGCACAGAUGAAUUGGGAUUUGGUAAGCAUGCUUUUGGUGUGCGUGCGGCUGAAUCUAAUCAAGUA